UCCCCGAUAUCAUCCAUCGAUGGCAUUCAGAAUAGAAACGAUGUGAAUGAAAAUGAGAAACGUCAGAUGAUAUUUGACUACAAACAUUAGAAUUUGGACGAAUUCAGAGGGAAAAUUCAAGAAAUGAUGAUUCAGAUUCGAUUCAGAUCCGUUUUUCGAGGUAUAUUUGAUGAAAUUUUAGAAAGAAGCUCAGUGGGAAGCUUGAUUUGCCAGAAGCCUCUACCAGGAGUCAUUUGGUUAUUUGAGAAGUUUUUAAACAGAAAUUUGAGGAAAUGAUAGACUAGAACUGUAUGUACCGCCCUUUUAUGAUGGUAUUUUUGCGUUUUGUUGAGAUUUUCAUGGAAAUUCGUCAAAUCUUGAAGCAUUCCGUUUCAUGUGCAUUGUCAAGGACAUACGUAAAUAUAUCAUUUCGGACAGAUAUUGGCAUCCAACCUGAAGUAAGCCGGGUGUACAUCUGUGGCUAAUGUAGAUCUAUGGACAAUGAGGAUCUAUGGACGAAGAGGAUCUAUGGUCAAUGUAGAUCUACCUACAAGGUGUAUCUACGGGCAAAGAGGAUCUAUGGGCUACAUUGAUCUACCUACAAGGUAGAUCUACGGCGCGUAC